rnacentral:rRNA from 1 species
ACGAGAAAGAGGGGGCAACUCCUUGAGUAAAGUGGCGUACGGGUGAGUAACACGUGGAUCAUCUACCUUUUAGUGGGGAAUAACCCUGGGAAACCGGGGCUAAUACCGCAUAAGCUCGUGAGAGGAAAGCAGCAAUGCGCUGAAAGAGGAGUCCGCGGCUGAUUAGCUAGUUGGUGAGGUAAUGGCCCACCAAGGCGAAGAUCGGUAGCCGGCCUGAGAGGGCACACGGCCACACUGGCACUGAAACACGGGCCAGACUCCUACGGGAGGCAGCAGUGGGGAAUCUUGCACAAUGGAGGAAACUCUGAUGCAGCGACGCCGCGUGAGCGAUGAAGCCCUUCAGGGUGUAAAGCUCUUUCGACGGGAACGAUAAUGACGGUACCCGAAGAAGAAGCUGCGGCUAACUACGUGCCAGCAGCCGCGGUAAUACGUAGGCAGCGAGCGUUGUUCGGAAUUACUGGGCGUAAAGAGUGCGUAGGCGGUGUUCUAAGUCUGUUGUGAAAUCUCCCGGCUCAACUGGGAGGGUGCGGCGGAAACUGGAAUGCUCGAGUGUGGGAGAGGUAAGCGGAAUUCCUGGUGUAGCGGUGAAAUGCGUAGAUAUCAGGAGGAACACCCGUGGUGUAGACAGCUUACUGGACCACGACUGACGCUGAGGCACGAAAGCGUGGGUAGCAAACAGGAUUAGAUACCCUGGUAGUCCACGCCCUAAACGAUGCAUACUUGGUGUGAGCCAUUCAUUUGGUUCGUG